GCACUUUAGAGACCGCAUUUCUAAAGAAACCAGAGACGGAUGCAUUCCCAUUAGGGGAAGCAGCAACAGAAACCGACUUAUCGAACUGGUGAGGCGGAGGCUGAACCGGAGGUGGCUGAAUGACCUUCUUAGGAGACUCAAAGACCGGCUGAGGCUGAGAGACCGGCGAAGGAGUGGCCGGUGGGGUCAUGAAGACGGUAUAGG
rnacentral:misc_RNA from 1 species